rnacentral:rRNA from 1 species
GGAAGGUUCCCCCGCGGGGGGGAUGACGUAGAGAAAGGUACGAUACUUCCGCAUACGAUCUAAGGAUGAAAGUGGGGGCUCGCAAGUCCUCAUCCUCCUCGAGCGGCCGAUAUCUGAUUAGCUAGUUGGUAGGGUAAAAGCCUACCAAGGCUUCGAUCAGUAGCUGGUCUGAGAGGACGAUCAGCCACCCUCUCUAUUUGGCUCGGUCCAGACUCCUACGGGAGGCAGCAGUGGGGAAUUUUGGACAAUGGGAGCAAGCCUGAUAUGCCCUUCGCGUGAGUGAAGAAGGCCUUCCGGUUGUGGUGUUUCAGUGAAGAAACGGUAGAGGCUAAUAUCCUUGCUAAUGA